rnacentral:rRNA from 1 species
ACAUGCCUACAACAUAUUUUUAAUGCAUAGGAUCCCAUUAGAACUCCGCAAUUAAGUGCACUCGGGAUAGAGUAGUACUAGGAUGGGUUACCACCCAGGAAGUCCCAAUAUUUUACAUGCU